GUUGAAUACACCUGCUAAUGGAGCAUUGGCUGCAGCUGCAGUGGGAAAUUGGCGCCGCUUCCCCUUUAGCAGUGACUCAGGGUCCCAAGUAGCUGAAUAGUGCUGAACAGUGGCCAGUAAUCCACUUAAGUUCUAAGUCAACUUAUUCUCUUUAUACUUACACUCCUGGAAUCUUACUGAUUUUCUGUACCUUUGUCUUGUUUUCUGACUUGGCGUAGGGUCUGUGUAGGGUUGAGAAAUAUGAUGAUUUGGCUGCCUUGACAAUAGUAACAACACCUGACCUUUGAAGCAGAUUGAUUGGAGGGAUGCUGACUUGAUCAAACCAGUUGUAGCAUACCUAACAAUGGGCAUUUCAUUUGAUCCCUGAGAUCUUUACUAUUAAAAUUGGCCAGAUAUCGACUAAGCUAAUAAGCAAGACAAAAGCAGUAGCAUUCCCAGUUAGACAUGGCCAAUCACAUUUUGUAUCCACAGGGGAUUUGUUCUAGCCCCUCUGUGGUUGGAGUGUGUUAACUGGCACAAAAAACAAAAACAAACAAACAAAAAAACCCAAAAACAAAAACAAAACAACUUUAUAACUCAGACACUUGAUAAACUAAAGGAGUGAUUUUAUAGAUAAAUUAUUGUGGGAAAACUUCACAUGAUAUUGACAGUAUCUUAAAAUUAGUUACUACAGUGCAAAACUAUGGGGGACUAUUUUUUCCUUAAGAUGUAUUAAGUAAGCAACUGAUUGUUGAAAUUGGAAAUACUUAAUGACAACAGACUUGGAGGGAUAGAGAGCUAUAUCCAGCCAUGCAACAAGGACAUCUCAUGGAAAAAAUUGCUUGAUCUACAGGAGGAAUAAGGCCUUGCCUUGCAGAGUGAUUCUUAUUGGGAGCAUUUAUUGAGCAGGUACAGCUUACUACAUCAUAGAAGUUGCCAGGGGAAUUCAAGAGAUGCAGGUAUUUCCUUCCCCUCAGGGGAUUAUCAACAGGAAAAAGUGAUUGGCAUGUUGGACCUUUGGGUUAUACUUAUGUACUUUGUCUUCUCAGGAAUGAACUACUCAUUAAAUCCAGAAGCAAGCCAGCAUGAUACCAAUAAAAGUGAUGUGGUCUUAAUUAUAGUUUUGAUCUCCCUAACAAGACAGGUCUGCUGAGAACAAGUUUCAACAAGUGAAAAAUUUCUUUUUCACCUCAGGGUGACUGGCCUCUCUGUAUCCGAUGGUCAGGCCUCAGUCAUUUCUAUCAGUUUGUUUAUCCUUUCCCCAACCCCCAUCAGCUGGAUAUUAAGAACAGCAGUGAGUAUUGGUUGAGGAGUGGUUGAGUCAGUGGCAAAAUGGCUCCUCAAAGUCAUUUUUUGUGAGCCCAACUGACAAUUAGAAAUAAAAAGUGAUGCCUUAUUUUUUUCA